UGGGAGAAUCUGUAAAGCUCAGGAGGGAUAGCGCCUAAGCUAUUUCUUUCUUUCUUUUUUGCAGAAAUAUCAUCUGCGGCGCUAUCUAUCCUGAGUUUCAUGGGUUCUUCCU
rnacentral:pre_miRNA from 1 species